rnacentral:rRNA from 1 species
GGGUUGUGAGGUUAAGCGACUAAGCGUACACGGUGGAUGCCCUGGCAGUCAGAGGCGAUGAAGGACGUGCUAAUCUGCGAUAAGCGCCGGUAAGGUGAUAUGAACCGUUAUAACCGGCGAUUUCCGAAUGGGGAAACCCAGUGUGACUCGUCACACUAUCAUUAACUGAAUCCAUAGGUUAAUGAGGCGAACCGGGGGAACUGAAACAUCUAAGUACCCCGAGGAAAAGAAAUCAACCGAGAUUCCCCCAGUAGCGGCGAGCGAACGGGGAGGAGCCCAGAGCCUGAAUCAGCAUGUGUGUUAGUGGAAGCGUCUGGAAAGGCGCGCGAUACAGGGUGACAGCCCCGUACACAAAAGCGCAUGUGCUGUGAGCUCGAUGAGUAGGGCGGGACACGUGGUAUCCUGUCUGAAUAUGG